UACGUAGGGUGCGAGCGUUGUCCGGAAUUAUUGGGCGUAAAGAGCUCGUAGGCGGUUUGUCGCGUCGACUGUGAAAACCCGAGGCUUAACCUCGGGCCUGCAGUCGAUACGGGCAGACUAGAGUUCGGUAGGGGAGACUGGAAUUCCUGGUGUAGCGGUGAAAUGCGCAGAUAUCAGGAGGAACACCGGUGGCGAAGGCGGGUCUCUGGGCCGAUACUGACGCUGAGGAGCGAAAGUGUGGGGAGCGAACAGG
rnacentral:rRNA from 1 species